GAGUUUGAUCCUGGCUCAGGACGAACGCUGGCGGCGCGCCUAACACAUGCAAGUCGAACGAGAGAGAGGGAGCUUGCUUCCUCAAUCGAGUGGCGAACGGGUGAGUAACGCGUGAGGAACCUGCCUCAAAGAGGGGGACAACAGUUGGAAACGACUGCUAAUACCGCAUAAGCCCACAGCUCGGCAUCGAGCAGAGGGAAAAGGAGCAAUCCGCUUUGAGAUGGCCUCGCGUCCGAUUAGCUAGUUGGUGAGGUAACGGCCCACCAAGGCAACGAUCGGUAGCCGGACUGAGAGGUUGAACGGCCACAUUGGGACUGAGACACGGCCCAGACUCCUACGGGAGGCAGCAGUGGGGAAUAUUGCACAAUGGGGGAAACCCUGAUGCAGCGACGCCGCGUGGAGGAAGAAGGUCUUCGGAUUGUAAACUCCUGUUGUUGAGGAAGAUAAUGACGGUACUCAACAAGGAAGUGACGGCUAACUACGUGCCAGCAGCCGCGGUAAAACGUAGGUCACAAGCGUUGUCCGGAAUUACUGGGUGUAAAGGGAGCGCAGGCGGGAAGACAAGUUGGAAGUGAAAUCUAUGGGCUCAACCCAUAAACUGCUUUCAAAACUGUUUUUCUUGAGUAGUGCAGAGGUAGGCGGAAUUCCCGGUGUAGCGGUGGAAUGCGUAGAUAUCGGGAGGAACACCAGUGGCGAAGGCGGCUUACUGGGCACCAACUGACGCUGAGGCUCGAAAGUGUGGGUAGCAACAGGAUUAGAUACCCUGUUAGUCCACACCGUAAGCGAUGAUAACUAGGUGUUGGAGGAUUGACCCCUUCAGUGCCGCAGUUAACACAAUAAGUAAUCCACCUGGGGAGUACGACCGCAAGGUUGAAACUCAAAGGAAUUGACGGGGGCCCGCACAAGCAGUGGAGUAUGUGGUUUAAUUCGACGCAACGCGAAGAACCUUACCAAGUCUUGACAUCCUGCGACGCACAUAGAAAUAUGUGUUUCCUUCGGGACGCAGAGACAGGUGGUGCAUGGUUGUCGUCAGCUCGUGUCGUGAGAUGUUGGGUUAAGUCCCGCAACGAGCGCAACCCUUACUGUCAGUUACUACGCAAGAGGACUCUGGCAGGACUGCCGUUGACAAAACGGAGGAAGGUGGGGAUGACGUCAAAUCAUCAUGCCCUUUAUGACUUGGGCUACACACGUACUACAAUGGCGUUAAACAAAGAGAAGCAAGACCGCGAGGUGGAGCAAAACUCAGAAACCACCUCCCAGUUCGGACUGCAGGCUGCAACUCGCCUGCACGAAGUCGGAAUUGCUAGUAAUCGUGGAUCAGCAUGCCACGGUGAAUACGUUCCCGGGCGUUGUACACACCGCCCGUC
rnacentral:rRNA from 1 species